rnacentral:rRNA from 1 species
UACGUAGGUGGCUAGCGUUGUCCGGAUUUACUGGGCGUAAAGAGCUCGUAGGCGGUUUGUCGCGUCUGCUGUGAAAACCCGAGGCUCAACCUCGGGCCUGCAGUGGGUACGGGCAGACUAGAGUGCGGUAGGGGAGAUUGGAAUUCCUGGUGUAGCGGUGGAAAUGCGCAGAUAUCAGGAGGAACACCAAUGGCGAAGGCAGACUCUGGGCCGUAACUGACGC